UUACAAUAUACUUCUUGUGUGUGUUGGUGUUAUGUACUCAGGUGAAUAUGAUGUUUGUGAUGUUACUCUGAGUGUGCAUCCACACCGAGUCGAGCUCAGUUGGUAGAGCAUUGGACUAAUAUCUCAAAGAUCGCAGGUUCGAUUCCCACUGUGGUCAGGCAAACUUUUCAGCUUGCCCGAUGUGCAUGCACACUCAGAAUAACAUCACAAACAUCAAUU